rnacentral:rRNA from 1 species
CAUGCAAGUCGAACGGGAAUCCCGAACUUGUUCGGGAGUGACAGUGGCAGACGGGUGAGUAACGCGUGGGAAUCUACCUUGUAGUGGGGAAUAGCCUUUCGAAAGAGAGGGUAAUACCGCAUGUUUCCAAAUUUAUUUGGAAAAAGACUUCGGUCGCUAUAAGAGGAGCCCGCGUCCUAUCAGGUAGUUGGUGGGGUAAUAGCCUACCAAGCCAAUGACGGGUAGCCGGUGUGAGAGCACGACCGGCCACAAGGUCACUGAAACACGGGGCCUACACCUACGGGUGGCAGCAACCGGGAAUAUUGCGCAAUGGGCGAAAGCCUGACGCAGCGACACCGCGUGUGGGAAGAAGCUUUUCGGAGUGUAAACCACUGUGGCAAGGGAAGAAUUUUUGACGGUACCUUGCUGGAAAGCACCUGCUAACUACGUGCCAGAAGCCUCGGUAAUACGUAGGGUGCAAGCGUUAUCCGGAUUUAUUGGGCGUAAAGAGUUCCGCAGGCGUCUUUACAAGUUUCUUGUUUAAGCCUGAGGCUCAACUUCAGAAAAGCAAGAAAAACUGUAAAGAUUGAGUUUGUUUGGGGAAGCUGGAAUUCUCGGUGGAGGGGUGAAAUCCGUAGAUAUCGAGAGGAACACCAAUCGCGAAGGCAAGCUUCUAAAACAAUACUGACGCUAAGGGACGAAAGCUUGGGUAGCAAAAGGGAUUAGAGACCCCUGUAGUCCAAGCCGUAAACUUUCCUCGCUAGUUG